UCCAGAAUCUUCCCUGGUAUUGAUGUCAGACUGACUGGGCGGUAAUUAAAAGAGAGGACCCAAAUAAUUACCGCCCAGUCAGUCUGACAUCAAUACCAGGGAAGAUUCUGGA